rnacentral:rRNA from 1 species
UACAGAGGGGGCAAGCGUUGUUCGGAAUUACUGGGCGUAAAGGGCGCGUAGGCGGCCUGCUAAGUCGAACGUGAAAUCCCUGGGCUCAACCCAGGAACUGCGUCCGAUACUGGUUGGCUUGAGUCCGGGAGAGGGACGUGGAAUUCCAGGUGUAGCGGUGAAAUGCGUAGAUAUCUGGAGGAACGCCGGUGGCGAAGGCGACGUCCUGGACCGGCAUUGACGCUGAGGCGCGAAAGCCAGGGGAGCAAACGGG